ACGAACGCUGGCGGCGUGCCUAAUACAUGCAAGUAGAACGCUGAAGAGAGGAGCUUGCUCUUCUUGGAUGAGUUGCGAACGGGUGAGUAACGCGUAGGUAACCUGCCUUGUAGCGGGGGAUAACUAUUGGAAACGAUAGCUAUUACCGCAUAACAAUAGGUGACACAUGUCAUUUAUUUGAAAGGGGCAAUUGCUCCACUACAAGAUGGACCUGCGUUGUAUUAGCUAGUAGGUGAGGUAACGGCUCACCUAGGCGACGAUACAUAGCCGACCUGAGAGGGUGAUCGGCCACACUGGGACUGAGACACGGCCCAGACUCCUACGGGAGGCAGCAGUAGGGAAUCUUCGGCAAUGGGGCAACCCUGACCGAGCAACGCCGCGUGAGUGAAGAAGGUUUUCGGAUCGUAAAGCUCUGUUGUAAGUCAAGAACGAGUGUGAGAGUGGAAAGUUCACACUGUGACGGUAGCUUACCAGAAAGGGACGGCUAACUACGUG
rnacentral:rRNA from 1 species